rnacentral:hammerhead_ribozyme from 1 species
AUCCAGUUAAGGACUCCCAAAUAGGAGGAAACGCGCGUCCUGGAU